rnacentral:rRNA from 1 species
UCCAGACUCCUACGGGAGGCAGCAGUGGGGAAUAUUGGGCAAUGGGCGCAAGCCUGACCCAGCAACGCCGCGUGAAGGAAGAAGGCUUUCGGGUUGUAAACUUCUUUUGACAGGGAAGAGCAGAAGACGGUACCUGUCGAAUAAGCCACGGCUAACUACGUGCCAGCAGCCGCGGUAAUACGUAGGUGGCAAGCGUUGUCCGGAUUUACUGGGUGUAAAGGGAGCGCAGGCGGCACGGCAAGCCUGAUGUGAAAGCCCGCGGCCCAACCGCGGGACUGCAUUGGGAACUACCGGGCUGGAGUGCCGGAGAGGUAGGCGGAAUUCCUAGUGUAGCGGUGAAAUGCGUAGAUAUUAGGAGGAACACCAGUGGCGAAGGCGGCCUACUGGACGGUGACUGACGCUGAGGCUCGAAAGCGUGGGGAGCAAACAGGAUUAGAUACCCUAGUAUA